AGGGCGUAGGAUGGAUGCCUAGGGUAACCAGAGAGUAAAGGACGUAGUUGGGUGCGAAAAGCCACGGUGAGGUCCCAACAACCGCUAGAGCCGUGGAUAUCCGACGGGGGAACCUGCUGGCUAUAAGCUGGCGACCCACGAUAAGUGGGUAACAACCCAGGGAAGUGAAACAUCUCAGUACCUGGAGGAAAAGAAAUCAAACGAGAUUCCCUGAGUAGUGGUGAGCGAAAGGGGAGGAGCCCAAACCAAGAUAACUUGUUAUCUUGGGGUAUGGACUAGCAAUAAAGAUAGAUAACAUUCUAGAAGAACUACUUGGGAAGGUAGACCAUAGAAGGUGAAAGUCCUGUAUUCGAAGGGAUGUUAUCAUCGAGCUAGAUCCUGAGUACUGCGGAGCACGUGGAAUUCCGUAGGAAGAAGGGGGGACCACCCUCCAAGGCUAAAUAUCUGGUUACACCGAUAGCGAAUAGUACCGUGAGGGAAAGGUGAAAAGAACCCCGGGAGGGGAGUGAAAUAGAAUCUGAAAUCCUAUGCCUACAAGGGAGUAGGAGCCCGAGAGGGUGACUGCGUACCUAUUGACGAAUGGGCCAACGAGUUAACCAGUAGGGCAAGGCUAAGGCAGGUAAAGCCGGAGCCGAAGGGAAACCGAGUCUGAAUAGGGCGAUAAGUCUUACUGGUUAGACCCGAAGCCGGAUGAGCUAGCCAUGGGCAGGAUGAACCCUGUGGAGACACAGGGGGAGGUCCGAACGGAUGGGAGCUGCAAGUCCUUCCGAUGACCUGUGGUUAGGAGUGAAAAGCUCAUCGAAUUCGGUGAUAGCUGGUUCUCCUCGAAACCACUUUAGGGUGGGCCUGCUGAUGAGAUCUUAAGGGGGUAGAGCUCUGGUAGGGCUAGGGGUGUCGAAAGGCAUUACCAAACCCUGCCAAACUUCGAAUACCUUGGGGAAUCCAGUGGAGUUACACCGCGGGGGAUAAGCUUCGCGGUGGAAAGGGAAACAGCCCAGACUUCUGGCUAAGGUCUCAAAGUAGUGGCUAAGUGGCAAAGGAGGUGUACCUGCGAAGACAUCUAGGAGGUUUGCUCAGAAGCAGCAAUCCUUUAAAGAGUGCGUAAUAGCUCACUGGCCGAGCAGGUAUGCGCCGAAAAUGUAAGGAGGCUUAAGUCACUCACCGAAGCCGAAGGUCUACACGGAUAGUGUAGGCGGUAGAGGAGCGUUCUAUGCACGAUGAAGUCAACUCGUAAGGGUUGAUGGAGUGUAUAGAAGUGAAAAUGUUGGCAUGAGUAACGACUGGAGGUUAGAAUCCUCCACGCCGGAAGCCUAAGGAUUCCACAGCAACGUUCGACGACUGUGGGUUAGGCGGGACCUAAGGUUAAGCCGAAAGGUGAAAUCGAUGGAAAGCUGGUUAAUAUUCCAGCCCCUAGUUGCUAGGGAAGGUGUGACGCAUUGGGUUGUGUGUAUGCUUUCUAUAUGGGAGUUUAACAAACAAGUCGUCUCCAACCAAAAGGUUGGAGGGGUAGUAUAGGAAAAUCCGUGCUACUUAAGACGAGUUUGCAAUAAGACCUACAUUAAGUAGGGAAUACAUAGAUCUGGUGCCAAGAAAAACAUCUACCAUUAAUAGUAACUAGCCCGUACCAAGAACUAACACAAGUGGGCAGGUAGAGAAUACCAAGGCGAUCGGGAUAACUAGGGAUAAGGAACUCGGCAAAUUAGCGGGCGUAACUUCGGGAUAAGCCCUGCCCAGACUAUGUUUGGGCCGCAGCGAAAGAAGUGGGGGGGACUGUUUAUCAAAAACACAGCUCUCUGCGAACUCCAAAAGAGGAGGUAUAGAGGGUGAUGCCUGUCCGGUGCCAGAAUGUUAAGCACUGGGGUGCAAGCCCUGGUGUGAAGCACUGGUGAACGACGGCCGUAACUAUGACGGUCCUAAGGUAGCGAAAUACCUUGUCAGGUAAGUUCUGACGCGCAUGAACGGCAUAACCAUCUCCACACUGUCUCAUUCCUAGACCCGGUGAAAUUACAAUCUCGGUAAAAAUGCCGAGUGGAAGCGGUUAGACGGAAAGACCCUGUGAAGCUUUACUGUAGGUUGGUAUUGGGUUGAGAUAUAUCGUGUGCAGUAUAGGUGGGAGACUGUGAAGGUACGACGCAAGUUGUGCUGGAGUCAUUAGUGAGAUACCACCCACGGUAUAUUUUGGCUCUAACCCCAAGGAAGUGGGGGACAGUGCCUGCUAGGCAGUUUACCUGGGGCGGGAGCCUCCUAAAGAGUAACGGAGGCGUACAAAGGUUGGCUUAGUACGGAUGGAAACCGUGCAGGACGUGUAUUCGCAAAAGCUAGCUUGACUGUGAGACUGACAGGUCGAACAGAGUGGAAACACGGUGAAAGUGAUCCGGAUCUUCCGAGUGGAAGGGGAUCCGCUCAACGGAUAAAAGCUACUCCGGGGAUAACAGGCUAAUGGGAUCCAAGAGUUCACAUCGACGAUCCCGUUUGGCACCUCGAUGUCGGCUCGUCGCAUCCUGGGGCUGUAGCCGGUCCCAAGGGUUGGGCUGUUCGCCCAUUAAAGCGGCACGCGAGCUGGGUUCAGA
rnacentral:rRNA from 1 species